AGCAAGCUCUAGGAUGUACAAGUCUCUAAAGCGACAGAUAACGUCAGUUCCACGUCGGAGUUGGAGCCGUACAUCGGCGAAGAGAUGCCAGUGAGACAAUGGAUGGAAACGGUACCGACACCGACGCUUCACCCACUUGUACUUUCUCUCUCUCUAUUUAUCUCUUUCCCCCAAAAAUUUCACCGAUAAACAAACCCUAGAUGGGCGACGACUUAGCUUUGAUCAAUUCUCCGUCUCCGGCCACCGUAGCUGGAGCCACUCAGACUCCGUCUUCUCGUCCGCUUCCUUUCCGUGAGGAUUGUUGGAGCGAGGAUGCAACAUCGACGCUGGUCGACGCUUGGGGCCGCCGUUACCUUGAGCUUAACCGUGGCAACCUCCGUCAAAAGGAUUGGCAGGAGGUCGCCGAUGCCGUUAACGCUCGUCAUGGUCAUACGAAGAAAACCAGGCGUACCGAUGUUCAGUGCAAAAACCGAAUCGACACUCUUAAGAAGAAGUAUAAGGUUGAAAAAGCUAGGGUUUCUGAAUCCAACGGGCAAAUUACUAGUACUUGGCCGUUUUACUCUCGCCUGGACACGUUAAUCGGAUCGGCUGCAACUGCGAAGAAGUCGUCUUCGUCAUCACCGCCGACAGCCGUUCCCUUACCCUACCGAAAACCACCUUCGACGGUGUUGUCUUCUCAAUUUCAACAGCCUGUCGUUCUCCCUCAGAAACGACCGCUGCCGGUGGCUGCGGCUGUCGAUGACUCCUAUUUUCGGAGGAAUUACUCAGCUGUUGCUGCCGCUGCUGCAGCCGCGGAGGAGGAUGGAUCAGAGGACGACGAGUCGCUGGGGACUAGCGAGGACGACGGUGCUGCAGGAGGGGAGGGAGUGAGGAAGGAGGGUGGAGGGGAUUCCGACUGCAUGAAGCGGUUGGCAAGGGCUAUUGAGAGGUUCGGAGAGAUUUAUGAGAGGGUUGAGGGAGAGAAGCAGAAACAGAUGAUUGAAUUGGAGAAGCAGAGGAUGCAAUUCACUAAAGAUUUGGAAGUUCAGAGGAUGCAGCUGUUCAUGGAUACCCAGGUUCAGCUGGAGAAGAUUAAGCAAGCAAAGAGGACAGUUUCUGAUGAUGAUGUUUACAGUUAGCCUCCAUCUUUCACCAUGCGACAAGAAAGAGGAAUGAAGUGAUUCAGUGUCUUGUUUUCUGGCCUUCUGAAUAAAGUUGAGCAACAUUGGUGCACCGCUCUCCACUCUUGGAUGAUUUCUAUAUCCGAUGAAUGCGGUAGUCCUACAUAUAUAAGGUCUGUAUUCAACAUUUACCAGGUAAACAUGUUCUUUCUCACAAUAUAUGCUAGGGUUCAUAUUAUUUUGCUUUAAUUGUUCAGGAUCAGAGGGAUCGAAGACUAGCAUAUUUGCAUAUCAGAUUGUGAAAGGUAAGAACAAAUGUUAUAUGCUUUCACACUAGUACAAGUUUUUGACUAACCUUCACAUCACGAUUUGGGUGAAUGUUGAAGUUGAGGAGUCUCUUCUU